GCGGAAGUGGCGAAAUUGGUAAACGCACCAGAUUUAGGUUCUGGCGUCAUUAUUGGCUUUGCGAGUUCGAAUCUCGCCUUCCGUA
rnacentral:tRNA from 1 species